UUCCGGUUGAUCCUGCCGGACCUGACUGCUAUCGGAUUGAUACUAAGCCAUGCGAGUCAUUGUAGCAAUACAAGGCAUACGGCUCAGUAACGCGUAGUCAACCUAACCUAUGGACGGGAAUAACCUCGGGAAACUGAGAAUAAUGCCCGAUAGAACAUUAUGCCUGGAAUGGCUUAUGUUCCAAAUGAUUUAUCGCCGUAGGAUGGGACUGCGGCCUAUCAGUUUGUUGGUGAGGUAAUGGCCCACCAAGACUAUUACAGGUACGGGCUCUGAGAGGAGUAGCCCGGAGAUGGGUACUGAGACACGGACCCAGGCCCUAUGGGGCGCAGCAGGCGAGAAAACUUUGCAAUGUGCGAAAGCACGACAAGGUUAAUCCGAGUGAUUUGUGCUAAACGAAUCUUUUGUUAGUCCUAGAACCACUAACGAAUAAGGGGUGGGCAAGUUCUGGUGUCAGCCGCCGCGGUAAAACCAGCACCUCAAGUGGUCAGGAUGAUUAUUGGGCCUAAAGCAUCCGUAGCCGGCUCUGUAAGUUUUCGGUUAAAUCUGUACGCUUAACGUACAGGCUGCCGGGAAUACUGCAGAGCUAGGGAGUGGGAGAGGUAGACGGUACUCGGUAGGAAGUGGUAAAAUGCUUUGAUCUAUCGAUGACCACCUGUGGCGAAGGCGGUCUACCAGAACACGUCCGACGGUGAGGGAUGAAAGCUGGGGGAGCAAACCGGAUUAGAUACCCGGGUAGUCCCAGCUGUAAACUAUGCAAACUCAGUGAUGCAUUGGCUUGUGGCCAAUGCAGUGCUGCAGGGAAGCCGUUAAGUUUGCCGCCUGGGAAGUACGUACGCAAGUAUGAAACUUAAAGGAAUUGGCGGGGGAGCACCACAAGGGGUGAAGCCUGCGGUUCAAUUGGAUUCAACGCCGGG
rnacentral:rRNA from 1 species